CUAGUACUCCCUCCGUCCGGAAAUACUUGUCAUCAAGAUGAAUAAAAGGGGAUAUAUCUAGAUGUAUUUUAGUUCUAGAUACACUCUUUUUAUCCAUUUUGAUGACAAGUAUUUCCGGAUGGAGGGAGUAGCUU
rnacentral:pre_miRNA from 1 species